AUUGAACACUGGCGGACGGCCUAACACAUGCAAGUCGAGCGAGCGGCGGACGGGCGAGUAAUGUAUCGGGACUGCCCGAUAGAGGGGGAUAACUACUGGAAACGGUAGCUAAUACCGCAUACUAUCGGGUAACCCAUAUGGGAUUAGCUAGUAGGUGAGGUAAUGGCUCACCUAGGCGACGAUCCCUAGCUGGUCUGAGAGGAUGAUCAGCCACACUGGGACGGUGACACGGCCCAGACUCCUACGGAGGCAGCAGUGGGGAAAAUUGCAAAGAGGGCGCAAACCAAAUGGAGAAAUGCCGAGUGUAUGGUGAAGGCCCUAGGGUUGAAACAUACUUGCAGUCGGGAGGCGUUACCGCCAGAGGAAGCGCCGGCGAACUCCGUGGCAGCAGCCGCGGUAAUUC
rnacentral:rRNA from 1 species